GGAAGCCGAAAGGUGACGACCCUCCGGGAGCCAGCACAGGUGCUGCAUGGCUGUCGUCAGCUCGUGUCGUGAGAUGUUCGGUUAAGUCCGCUAACGAGCGCAACCCUUGCUGUGUGUUACAUGUGUCACACGGGACUGCCGGUCUUAAACCGGAGGAAGGUGGGGAUGAUGUCAAGUCCGCAUGGCCUUUAUAUCCUGGGCUACACACACGCUACAAUGGCCGGUACAAUAGGUUGCGAGGCCGCGAGGCGGAGCCAAUCCUCAAAGCCGGCCUCAGUUCAGAUUGCAGGCUGCAACCCGCCUGCAUGAAGAUGGAGUUGCUAGUAACCGCAGGUCAGCAAUACUGCGGUGAAUACGCUCCCGGGGCUU
rnacentral:rRNA from 1 species